rnacentral:rRNA from 1 species
UAGUGCUGUUAUGAUCGGCAUGAUCCUAUCAGGACUCCGAAGUUAAGCAUGUUUGGGCGAGAGUAGUACUAGGAUAGGUGACCUCCUGGGAAGUUCUCGUGUUGCAUUCC